rnacentral:tRNA from 1 species
GUUAUAAUAGUUUAAUGAAAACACUGGUCUUGUAAACCAAAAUUGAGAUAAUUCUCUUAUGACU